GAUGAACGCUAGCGGGAGGCCUAACACAUGCAAGCCGAGCGGUAGAGUCUCUUCGGAGCCUUGAGAGCGGCGCACGGGUGCGGAACACGUGUGCAACCUGCCUUUAUCUGGGGGAUAGCCUUUCGAAGGGAAGAUUAAUACCCCAUAAUAUACUGGAUGGCAUCAUCUGGUAUUGAAAACUCCGGUGGAUAGAGAUGGGCACGCGCAAGAUUAGAUAGUUGGUGAGGUAACGGCUCACCAAGUCAGCGAUCUUUAGGGGGCCUGAGAGGGUGAUCCCCCACACUGGUACUGAGACACGGACCAGACUCCUACGGGAGGCAGCAGUGAGGAAUAUUGGACAAUGGGUGAGAGCCUGAUCCAGCCAUCCCGCGUGAAGGACGACGGCCCUAUGGGUUGUAAACUUCUUUUGUAGAGGGAUAAACCUAGAUACGUGUAUCUAGCUGAAGGUACUAUACGAAUAAGCACCGGCUAACUCCGUG
rnacentral:rRNA from 1 species